rnacentral:rRNA from 1 species
UACGUAGGGGGCUAGCGUUAUCCGGAAUUACUGGGCGUAAAGGGUGCGUAGGCGGUCUUUCAAGCCAGAAGUGAAAGGCUACGGCUCAACCGUAGUAAGCUUUUGGAACUGUAAGACUUGAGUGCAGGAGAGGAGAGUGGAAUUCCUAGUGUAGCGGUGAAAUGCGUAGAGAUAUGGAGGAACACCAGUGGCGAAGGCGGCUUCCUGGUCUGUAACUGACACUGAGGCGCGAAAGCGUGGGGAGCAAACAGGAUUAGAUACCCGUGUAGUCCCU